rnacentral:rRNA from 1 species
AUUGAACGCUGGCGGCAGGCCUAACACAUGCAAGUCGAGCGGAUGAAGGGAGCUUGCUCCUGGAUUCAGCGGCGGACGGGUGAGUAAUGCCUAGGAAUCUGCCUGGUAGUGGGGGAUAACGUCCGGAAACGGGCGCUAAUACCGCAUACGUCCUGAGGGAGAAAGUGGGGGAUCUUCGGACCCCACGCUAUCAGAUGAGCCUAGGUCGGAUUAGCUAGUUGGUGGGGUAAAGGCCUACCAAGGCGACGAUCCGUAACUGGUCUGAGAGGAUGAUCAGUCACACUGGAACUGAGACACGGUCCAGACUCCUACGGGAGGCAGCAGUGGGGAAUAUUGGACAAAGGGCGAAAGCCUGAUCCAGCCAUGCCGCGUGUGUGAAGAAGGUCUUCGGAUUGUAAAGCACUUUAAGUUGGGAGGAAGGGCAGUAAGUUAAUACCUUGCUGUCUUGACGUUACCAACAGAAUAAGCACCGGCUAACUUCGUG